GGGGAAUAUUGGACAAUGGGCGCAAGCCUGAUCCAGCCAUGCCGCGUGAGUGAAGAAGGCCUUCGGGUUGUAAAGCUCUUUUGUUGGGAAAGAAAAGCAGCCGGCCAAUACCCGGUUGUUCUGACGGUACCCAAAGAAUAAGCACCGGCUAACUUCGUGCCAGCAGCCGCGGUAAUACGAAGGGGGCAAGCGUUACUCGGAAUUACUGGGCGUAAAGCGUGCGUAGGUGGUGGUUUAAGUCCGAUGUGAAAGCCCUGGGCUCAACCUGGGAAUGGCAUUGGAAACUGGAUCACUGGAGUGCGGUAGAGGAUGGCGGAAUUCCCGGUGUAGCAGUGAAAUGCGUAGAGAUCGGGAGGAACAUCCGUGGCGAAGGCGGCCAUCUGGACCAGCACUGACACUGAGGCACGAAAGCGUGGGGAGCAA
rnacentral:rRNA from 1 species